rnacentral:rRNA from 1 species
AAAUUGAAGAGUUUGAUCAUGGCUCAGAUUGAACGCUGGCGGCAGGCCUAACACAUGCAAGUCGAGCGGUAGCACAGAGAGCUUGCUCUCGGGUGACGAGCGGCGGACGGGUGAGUAAUGUCUGGGAAACUGCCUGAUGGAGGGGGAUAACUACUGGAAACGGUAGCUAAUACCGCAUAACGUCGCAAGACCAAAGUGGGGGACCUUCGGGCCUCAUGCCAUCAGAUGUGCCCAGAUGGGAUUAGCUAGUAGGUGGGGUAACGGCUCACCUAGGCGACGAUCCCUAGCUGGUCUGAGAGGAUGACCAGCCACACUGGAACUGAGACACGGUCCAGACUCCUACGGGAGGCAGCAGUGGGGAAUAUUGCACAAUGGGCGCAAGCCUGAUGCAGCCAUGCCGCGUGUGUGAAGAAGGCCUUCGGGUUGUAAAGCACUUUCAGCGGGGAGGAAGGCGAUAAGGUUAAUAACCUUGGCGAUUGACGUUACCCGCAGAAGAAGCACCGGCUAACUCCGUGCCAGCAGCCGCGGUAAUACGGAGGGUGCAAGCGUUAAUCGGAAUUACUGGGCGUAAAGCGCACGCAGGCGGUCUGUCAAGUCGGAUGUGAAAUCCCCGGGCUCAACCUGGGAACUGCAUUCGAAACUGGCAGGCUAGAGUCUUGUAGAGGGGGGUAGAAUUCCAGGUGUAGCGGUGAAAUGCGUAGAGAUCUGGAGGAAUACCGGUGGCGAAGGCGGCCCCCUGGACAAAGACUGACGCUCAGGUGCGAAAGCGUGGGGAGCAAACAGGAUUAGAUACCCUGGUAGUCCACGCCGUAAACGAUGUCGAUUUGGAGGUUGUGCCCUUGAGGCGUGGCUUCCGGAGCUAACGCGUUAAAUCGACCGCCUGGGGAGUACGGCCGCAAGGUUAAAACUCAAAUGAAUUGACGGGGGCCCGCACAAGCGGUGGAGCAUGUGGUUUAAUUCGAUGCAACGCGAAGAACCUUACCUGGUCUUGACAUCCACAGAACUUUCCAGAGAUGGAUUGGUGCCUUCGGGAACUGUGAGACAGGUGCUGCAUGGCUGUCGUCAGCUCGUGUUGUGAAAUGUUGGGUUAAGUCCCGCAACGAGCGCAACCCUUAUCCUUUGUUGCCAGCGGUCCGGCCGGGAACUCAAAGGAGACUGCCAGUGAUAAACUGGAGGAAGGUGGGGAUGACGUCAAGUCAUCAUGGCCCUUACGACCAGGGCUACACACGUGCUACAAUGGCAUAUACAAAGAGAAGCGACCUCGCGAGAGCAAGCGGACCUCAUAAAGUAUGUCGUAGUCCGGAUUGGAGUCUGCAACUCGACUCCAUGAAGUCGGAAUCGCUAGUAAUCGUAGAUCAGAAUGCUACGGUGAAUACGUUCCCGGGCCUUGUACACACCGCCCGUCACACCAUGGGAGUGGGUUGCAAAAGAAGUAGGUAGCUUAACCUUCGGGAGGGCGCUUACCACUUUGUGAUUCAUGACUGGGGUGAAGUCGUAACAAGGUAACCGUAGGGGAACCUGCGGUUGGAUCACCUCCUUACCUUAAAGAA